rnacentral:tRNA from 1 species
UAGCUCAGCUGGUAGAGCAAAGGACUGAAAAUCCUUGUGUCCCCGGUUCGAAUCCG